GGUGGUGCCACUCAUUGCUUCCAAGAGUUCAAGCAGCAUCAGAGGAGCAUCACCAGCAGCCAAAACAUCGACUCACGUGAAUUGAAAUCUAUCAAAACUGUGGAUGUGCUAGUAAUGGUUCAAAACCGAGGAGUCUAUACGCUCGCCACUCAUCGCUUCCAAGUCAAUUACAAAACAAGGGAGUUCAGCAAGCACCAGAGGAUCAUCUGGUUCUCAAAAAAGUGUUGCAUGAUUGUCUGGUUCUAGUGAGGUGAAAAGGCUACGUGUUGGAACUGUAUCUUCGAAGCAUUAAGGUCUAUUGAAAGUAAAAUGGAUGGAAGGUAUGAUGGAUUGGAAAUGUCAGAUCGCAGUUAGAAGAAGAGGAACAUAACCGUUAGUUCACUGAG